GGCAUGACAUCACAAAGCUGUCCUUGUUUGAAGACACUUGGGAAUUUCAGGUGUUGCCGUAAGUCUACUGAGCUCUCUGGGUGUCUAACCUUGCCUUCUUGUCAUCAGCUAUUAAAACUACUAAAACAGAAGAAUGCUUAACCACUACAGCUGUUAAAACAUUAGUACGUGCUUUGCACUUCGGGUUUCAGGAUCGAGAACAUCCUGGAAAUAAGAGCGGAAGCAGAAAAGCCAGCAGAGCAGGCCAUCACAAUAGACGUGGCGUGAGAUGUCAUGGAACUGGAGCAGUUAAACCUCAUUCUCCAGGGUACUGGUGCUACUGCCAAGAGCGGAAAACUUUCAUCUUCCAAAACCUCAAUCAGCCAGUUUCUCAUCUGCAUCCCAUAAAUCAUCAAGAAAGAACAAGCUCAUUAUCUCAGCACCAGGGACAAAAGUCUUUUACAUGACACUGAACUUCUGACUACUGCAAAACAUGGCAGCUUGCCAUCAUAUGUUUAACAGGUGUGUUGGUCCCUUUAACAGACUGGGCCAGAAGUUUGAGGAUAUGGUCUGAAAUUUCAAUUUUGUUACGUGUUGUGACUUGCACUGGGCCCAAAUCCAGAGGUAAUUGGGCCUAGUGGUCUGAAGAGUUACUUGGGUGUUCUGUAAUUUUAGUAGAUUUGGAGAAAGAGAGGUGGGGAUGUCUGUCCCUGAAGAUAUUUUCUCAUAGAAGCAAGGAAUUACAGGAACUUCUCUGUUGUGUUUUGGGUAAGUGUUUCCAUGCUGCUACUCUGAAUAAUAGGGUAGAUAUUUCCAGGUACAGGCUGUUAAAAUUUGCUAUAUUACCUCCAUUCUGUAUGUAGUUCCUUCUCUACAUAACAGUGUUGGUUAGGUAGUGGAACCUUCUAAAUGACGCACUAUGUGAUUCCUGUGUCAUAUAGAAUGUUCUAUGAUUCUUAGCCAGAUAAUCAUAUUCCCAGAAAAGGCCUCUCAACUUUCACCUGCCUUUCUAAGGACUGAAAUACUCUGAGUGUUGCAUAAAGGGUGUUCCAAAUAUGGGCAUUCACCUGUUUCCUGAUUAAAAAAAGAUAAUUUGGUAUGAAUAAAAAAAAAGGGACGCUUUGUAAUGGGUUUGGUAAAUCUUUCCUGUAACAGGUUAGAUAAUAAAUAUUUUAGGCUUUUGGGAUAUGUAAUCUUUAUUUUAACUACUCAAAUGGGCAGCAAAGCAAAAGCAGUAUGUAAAUGAAUGAGUAUUGCUGUGUUCCAAUAAACUUUAUGGACUCUGAAAUUUGAA
rnacentral:lncRNA from 1 species